UUCUGUAUGCGUGUGUUUAAUUUUAAGUGUCAACACUGAAAAGUUUGAACAGAUAAAAACACAUUACACAAUGUCCACAACCUUCACAACAGUGAGAACCUCCUGCCAGGAGGGUCUCUUCCCGCUUCCCCACCGGAGGACUCAAGGUGGGAGAAGGCGAAAAGGAUGGGGGAGUUGAGUUCCUUGGUGUUGUUGUGGCUCAGAAAGACGGAGUUGACGGCCGAGAGGCGUCUGAAUUGGACACUGC
rnacentral:antisense_RNA from 1 species